UUAUUAUUUAUUUAUUGCACAUGCUAUUAUAUAAGAAUUCGAAUGUAAUGUUAAAUAUAUUAAAGAUAACAAUGUGGAUUAAAUGUACAUUCCGGAUUGUAGGUCAAUGACGAAAGCUAAAGAAGAAAUUUCACGCGAUGUUGGAAUGACAUUCGGUGGGUUAAAAAUAUAAAAUGUGGCAAUCAAGCAACUCGAGUAUUUGUUCUGACAUGUCUGGCUGUUUCGACUACAAAAAUGCCAUUUACUGAUGGCCUGUACAAGUAUAAAAUUUGUUGUUAUAGCAGUUAUCUAGUCCCCCACUUGGGUGGUAAGGUUCAUCGAAGUCAUCUAACGUUAAACGCAGGAAACUUGCUAUUUCGACGAGAUCGGACCAUGGGGUUAGGGUUUUAGGUAUAUGGGACGCGCUGGGCAUUGCAUCUAAAAUUUGUCGAGUUCGACAUUUGGUCGGUUAAAUGUACAUGCAACCUCAUGGCUGCAUGAAUAACUUUUGUGAAAAAGCAGAAUUAUCGGACCAUAUGACUUAUGUACAUAUGUUUAGCGGUUUCUAAGGUAUCAGUAGUGAAACCGCUCUUCCGACUUUUUUCACAUUAAGUAGUUAAAGUCUGGUUAGUGGGAGAUUGAGUACCUUGGUGUGGUAGCUUACUCCCGCCGAACCGAAAUGUUUUAACAUCAACCUAUUUAUUUCGUAUGUGCUGAUGGAUUUGGAAGCUUUUGUCUAAUUAUGCCUUGAAUCUCUUUACUGGUAAGUAGCGCACAGUAUUUUCGUAUUUCACGUAGACGUUGGAUGGUAGAAUCCUCAAAUGGAGAACCCUUAUGCUUAUAUCACACGAAUCAAAGGCAUCGCAUUCAUUACCAAAGACUGUUGGGAUAUUUGGACGGCAGCUGCGAUUAGCUUGCAGAAUUUAAGUUUCUGACAAUUGUAGCUUUCUUAAAAUUAACGAAGUCACGGUGGUUCACCGAGAUAUAGUCGGAGAAGGGUAAUGCCAAAUGGUAUUCAGCACAAAGCAGUGAAGCUAAAUAAGUUUGGGUGAUAUCCUGGGGUAUAUGAUUCGAUGACCUAAGGGUCUUAAAAUACACCUAAUUGAUAUGGAGGUUAGGAUGUAGUGUUUUGGCACCAAAUCGGUACCUAAAUUCCAUCGAGGAUAAGGAUCACAAUCUUCAUUUGCGCAUCGACCUUAAAAGGGUUAGAUAUUAAACAAUUUUGUACUAUAUGACAACUAGAAGCUCACCUCAAAUCGCCGUUAAUCUGAUUAAAUAAAAAAUAAAUAACUAAAUGUGGAAUGGCACAAAGCUUUAUUCAAGGUUGAAAACUUCAAAGGCAUACAAAUACAAAUCAUGGUCGCAGGUACCUAAAAGGAACAAUUAUACGAGAGAAGAUUGAAAUUCCUUCAAUAUGGGGUAAAGAUUUAGGAAUUCUAAAAAUGUUUGCUAUACUUUUUAUAUUGCUACUGAGACUACUUCCAAACCCUCACUUGAUAAUACAUAUCAACCGAUCUUUCAUGUGAUCAUUCAUACGAAAGUUAAUACCGGGGAGGAAUAAAAAAGGAUUGUACGGCAAUAUAAUCGUGGCGAUUUCAAGAUUGAAAACUAUAACAACAUAUAAAUCAAGGUCAAAAUCAAAAGUAUCCAAAGUCUAAACAAGAAUAUGUUCACUUAGCAGGACAGCGAGUUUUAAACUGAAGAAACAGAAGCAAUUACACGGGAGAAGAUUAAUACACCCCCUUUAAAUGAAUAAUGUCACAGGUAAAAAAUAAGGAUCGUACCGCAAGAACUUACUGAGGCAAACGGUACGGUAGCUGGCGAUUUUUUUCUUACACUCUCUAAAAUAGAAUGAGCGUGCUGAAAUUAAAAUAUGGAAACCAAAAUGGACCAAAGGGAAUCACCUCUAUUCUCGAACAUUUCGACAGUGUUGUUUUUAUAUCGACAAAAAAUUGCUGAAGUAAUUUGGAGGAAUACUGCCGAAUUGACAGGUAUAAAAACUCGGUGCGUUCCGGUUAGGUACACCGCUCGGUUGUUGUAGCGGGUACCUAAUUCCUGUUAGGAUGAUAUGGAUUAGAUAAGUUGUCGACGUCAGCCAACGGUAGGCCCAGGAAACGUGGUGGCCGGUGUCAUGCGGCGACUCGUUGCAUGCUGGACAUAUAUUUGAUAUGUUGGUAAAUUCUGGAUAAGUAUCGUUCGUUUAAAGCAGCUCAAAAACUAAUCUCACUAAUCUUCCGACUCUUCGAACUAAUUACUACUCGUAUUAUAAUAAAAUAUCCUUUUGCACAUUGUAAUUAAUUUCAUUUUUAUUCGUGAAAGUUAAUUAACAUCGAACGAAUGAAACAUAAUACAUAGAUGUGUGAACAAAAAAAAUUGUAGUAGUUAAAUGCGAAAAUAACAGGACGUUUCAAGAUGAUUCAACCGUACUAUUGCAAAUGUAUACUCUAUCUUUAUUAUUUAAUACAUACAUACAUGAGCAUGAGC
rnacentral:lncRNA from 1 species